UGAGGAAUAUUGGUCAAUGGGCGGGAGCCUGAACCAGCCAAGUCGCGUGAAGGAAGAAUGAUCUAUGGUUCGUAAACUUCUUUUGCAGGGGAAUAAAGUGCAGGACGUGUCCUGUUUUGUAUGUACCCUGAGAAUAAGGAUCGGCUAACUCCGUGCCAGCAGCCGCGGUAAUACGGAGGAUCCGAGCGUUAUCCGGAUUUAUUGGGUUUAAAGGGUGCGUAGGUGGUUUGAUAAGUCAGCGGUGAAAGUUUGCAGCUUAACUGUAAAAAUGCCGUUGAAACUGUCGGACUUGAGUGUAAAUGAGGUAGGCGGAAUGCGUGGUGUAGCGGUGAAAUGCAUAGAUAUCACGCAGAACUCCGAUUGCGAAGGCAGCUUACUAAGCUACAACUGACACUGAAGCACGAAAGCGUGGGGAUCAAACA
rnacentral:rRNA from 1 species